UACGUAGGGUGCAAGCGUUAAUCGGAAUUACUGGGCGUAAAGCGUGCGCAGGCGGUGAUGUAAGACAGGUGUGAAAUCCCCGGGCUUAACCUGGGAACUGCAUUUGUGACUGCAGCGCUGGAGUGCGGCAGAGGGGGAUGGAAUUCCGCGUGUAGCAGUGAAAUGCGUAGAUAUGCGGAGGAACACCGAUGGCGAAGGCAAUCCCCUGGGCCUGCACUGACGCUCAUGCACGAAAGCGUGGGGAGCAAACAGG
rnacentral:rRNA from 1 species